CUAGCUUCUCGGCCUUUUGGCUAAGAUCAAGUGUAGUAUCUGUUCUUAUCAGUUUAAUAUCUGAUACGUCCUCUAUCCUUGCAUAUAUUUGUAGAAAUUUGUUUCGUAGUUGUUGCCUAAUCAGAUGAAAUCUGUCCAACACAGCCACAUUCACUUUGUUCCUCCUACAUGUGGCACUUAUG